CGGGAGAUGAACAGUGACCCCAGAGAGCUGAGGACACCUCGGGAGGGUGAGAAACCUCAGCGGGGAAGAAGCCCCUGAGCUCCCAAGCGCCCAGGCCUGGGAGUGCAGCAGAGCUGGCCAUUGCAGCUGCGGAGGUGAGGACUCCAGUGCGAGCUGAGCGGGAACAGCCCCUUCCCAUCACUGAGGCCGCAGGGGCACGGGAUGCUCCCAGUGCCAAUGGCUGAGGGAGCCUCGGGGGCUGCUGCUGGAGGAGCGACAAACGCACACGGAGCAUUUCAGGCACGGCAAGGACAGGGCACUGCUCUGCCUGCUCCCGCCGCCGCUUCCUUUGCUCCCGCCCACAGGCGUUCCCGGCAGCUCUGCUCUCUCGGCGCUCGGACGUGCUUUGGGCUCUUCCUCACUCGGCAAACACGCAGCUUGGUCUCGCCAUGCACCUGGCACAUCUCAUCCUCACCGUCUUCCUGGGCCAGCUCCUGGGCACCACGGGGCAGGACACGGUCACCCAGGACGAUGGACCAGUCACGGUGGAGCAGGGACACCCCUUCCACACCACCUGCAAAUACCACACCAGUGGUUUUACUGCCUUGCUGUGGUACCAGGUGCGGAAAGGCCAAGCCCCAGAGCUGGUCUCCUAUCAGGCAGGGCCUGGCCCCAGGCGCAGCGGCCGGAUCACCACGCACCUGAACACCACGAGAAAAUCCAGUGUCCUGCAGCUGGAGGAAGUGGAGCUCUCUGACACUGCCUUGUACCUCUGUGCUGUGCAAGGCACCCUGGUGCAGGGAGCUUCCUCAGCUGUGCAACAAGCCAGGGCAGGGAGGGGAUGUGUCAGUGCAAGGCUGAGCUUGGGGAAGGGACUCUGAUCUCACCCUGAUGCUCAGCAGAAGUUGC